GACGAACGCUGGCGGCGUGCUUAACACAUGCAAGUCGAGCGAUGAAGUUCCCUUCGGGGAACGGAUUAGCGGCGGACGGGUGAGUAACACGUGGGUAACCUGCCUCAAAGAGGGGGAUAGCCUCCCGAAAGGGAGAUUAAUACCGCAUAAUAUCUUUUUAAUGCAUGUUAGAAAGAUUAAAGGAGCAAUCCGCUUUGAGAUGGACCCGCGGCGCAUUAGCUAGUUGGUGAGGUAACGGCUCACCAAGGCGACGAUGCGUAGCCGACCUGAGAGGGUGAUCGGCCACAUUGGGACUGAGACACGGCCCAGACUCCUACGGGAGGCAGCAGUGGGGAAUAUUGCGCAAUGGGGGAAACCCUGACGCAGCAACGCCGCGUGAGUGAUGAAGGUCUUCGGAUCGUAAAGCUCUGUCUUCAGGGACGAUAAUGACGGUACCUGAGGAGGAAGCCACGGCUAACUACGUG
rnacentral:rRNA from 1 species